CAGCAAGUUGUGUUUUUUGAUUCUCCGUCGUUUCUGAAUUGUUAUAUAUCGGUAUCUUGCAUACUUACACAAUUGUGCCCACGGAUAUAUGUACAUAAAAUAUAUGUGCCCAUUGCAAAAGUGUUUAAAUACAAAUACAUAUGUAUAUUGGAUUCAGUUUCGAAAGCCUUCAAUGUGUGUGUGCGCCGAAAACUUAGUUUUUUCAAAAUCAUAAUUUGCUACGACUGAAAAAAUUCCUAAAUUCAUUACCAGCGUUAACGUAAAGUUGUGAAAUACGGCAUAGACGGAAUACUUUCCGGCGCUUACCGAAACGUAAGCGAACAAAUCAAGCAACGAAAAUAGUUACAGCAUUUUAUUUAAAAAGUGCCCACACCCAAAGUCGAUUUUUUCAAUGCAUACAUGUACAUACUAAACUUUGGCCCGUAGUUAAUUCUCAUACGCACUGGAUGCCAGUAAGCAGUGGGGUACCAUCCCGGCACGCUUCAAACUAGGCUAUAGAAAAAUCGAAUUUUAGAAAAAAUUUGGUUGCUUGGCGUGUGCAUCUAAAAAGGACUUUAUAGCAGUAUUAUAUCUACAGACACUUAUUGAACUUCUCCCUCUUUAAUUCUGUCUCUUGGCCAAGUUUUCAUCAAAGAAGUAAUGAUUAAUUGGCUUAAAGU